rnacentral:rRNA from 1 species
GCGUAUCAGCCUUUUGGGUGUGAUUAUGUGGAGCGUGAGGAGCUAAUCGCCUUCAUCUUUGCAUAUUUGUGCACUUUGGGUGUACUUGCUCGUGUGGUAGGUUAACAUCAAUUUUGAUCGUCAUAAAAUGGCUAGAGGAAUGUAGCUUCGAUCUCGUAUUGAAGUGUUAUAGCCUUUGGUAGAUGUGAUGAUUAGGAUUGAGGAUUGCAACGGAUACCCUUCGGGGCUACCUGCCUGAUCUCUGAAAGUUGCUCUGGUGCUGAAAGCUUGCUUAUGGUAUCAAAGUUGACGUUCAAUAGGUUAGAACGGGAUAAAUUCGUUAAGGAUGUUGACGUAACG